UCCCAAUACACGGCGGGGAUGUGCUGUGGGGCAUUGUGGGGCGGAGAUGUGAACUCUUGCAUAACACCUCUAUGUCACGUAGGCGAUGACUUGCAUUAGCCGAAAUGACAGAGAUCGUCUCGGAACCACGUUGGGUGCACCUUGCACACCUUGAGAGUGCUUCACCACCACUUCGACAGGGCCGACUUGUAGGCACCUCGGCAGGAUCAAGCUGGCCACCUCAAGACUGAUCUAGAGACCUCGACACGAAGGGUGACCUCCUGUUGAGGCCCAAUCGACUUGACCGAGGUCCAGUUGGUGACUUGCGUGACAUGGCGACCGGCCUCUGUUUUGUGUGACUUAUCGUCUCCGAGUCCUAUGGGAUCACGUCACCUCACUGAUGGAGCUGGCUCCUGCGUCACCCACUUCAGAGGUAAUUGGAUAAGCUCUAUUGUUUUACAAGGAAACUGUCUCCGAGCAUGGUGGGCUGAUAAAUCACAUCCUCCCUGGGAUCUCGGAUGCGCUACAUGAAGCUCACAACUACCUGUGCCUAUAUAAAGGUGCUCCCUUCAACCAGAGAAGCUCGACCAGCCAACCUAGUUAACUCGACAUCUGACUUGUCCUCUAGCAGGUAGCAUGAGAUCGCGCACCAUCACCUUGUAUACAAUAUUUCUAAACUUUGUAUUUGCAGUCUUCCCAAACUGAGUCAGGAAAGUGGCUAUUGAAAUCUGUCUAGCAAAGAGAAAUCUGCUAAACCAAAGCCAGUCACUGCUCGCUGCUAGUCACUUUCAUUUAUUAGUCCUGACUCCUGAGAAUUGAUCCACUCUGAGUUGGUGGUGGUAGUUGCUUGAAUUGUCUCCAAGCUUUUGCUAUACUUAGCAAUCUGUCUCAACAUCAAACAUAUGAGACAAACUUGAUUUCUAUUCAGCCAGUUCCACUGAACUUUCUGACCCAACUUCAUUGUAAAUGAAUAAUAUUGGAAAAAAAAAAACAUUCAUGCUGAUCGGAUUGAGACACGUUUACAGAUUUGUAUGAGCCAGUCUUACAAGGGUUGGAUGAGUUGAA